rnacentral:rRNA from 1 species
GUCGAGAAUCAUUCACAAUGGGGGAAACCCUGAUGGUGUGACGCCGCGUGGAGGAUGAAGGUCUUCGGAUUGUAAACUCCUGUCAUGUGGGAGUAAAGCCGGGUGUUAAAUGCAUGCCGGUCUGAGAGUACCACAAGAGGAAGGGACGGCUAACUCUGUGCCAGCAGCCGCGGUAAUACAGAGGUCCCAAGCGUUGUUCGGAAUCACUGGGCGUAAAGGGUGCGUAGGCGGCGCGGAAAGUCAGGGGUGAAAUCCCGGAGCUCAACUCCGGAACUGCCUUUGAUACUCCCGCGCUUGAGAACUGGAGGGGAGACCGGAAUUCACGGUGGAGCAGUGAAAUGCGUGGAUAUCGUGAGGAACACUAGUGGCGAAGGCGGGUCUCUGGACAGUAUCUGACGCUGAGGCACGAAGGCCAGGGGAGCGAACGGGAUUAGAUACCCUAGUAGUCC